UUAGGUUUGGACUGUAUCUGCUCUUUCUUUCAUACCUCCCCAGCAUUUCACCGCGGUGUGUAUAUACGGUAUAUGAGGUCACUGUGUCACGAGAAUGACAUUAGCUUGAUCACUUUAAUGGGAAUAUUAACCAGUAAUAUGACUAUUGCUAUAUACAUUACUCACCUUAAGUACUGAGGCAUCCAUGGUGAAAGGAGUCAAAGAAUGUGAGAAUCGAGUGAGAAGUAGAGUCAUUCUCUUCUAUACAACCAAAGGAGAGUAAAUCUCUCAUAGACUUCUAUACAACCAAAGGAGAGUUGUUAUAUCAUAGACCCCUAUAGGACCAAAGGAGAGCAAAUCUCAUAGACUUCUAUACAAUCAAAGGUGAGUUAAUCUCUCAGACUUCUAUACAACAAAAGGAGAGUAAAUCUCUCAUAGACUUCUAUACAACCAAAGGAGUCAAUCUCUCAGUCUUUUAUAAAAACCAAUAGAGUCAAUCCGUCAUAUACUUAUAUACAACCAAAGGACAUUAGAUAUCUCAUAUACUUCUAUACAACCAAACAAGAGUACAUCUCUCAUAGACUUAUAUACAACCAAAGGAGAGUACAGCUCUCAUAGACUUCAAUAAAACCAAAGGAGAGUCAAUCUAUCAUAAACUUAUACACAACCAAAGGAGUUAAUCUCUUCUAGACUUCUAUACAGCCAAAGGAGCCGAUCACUAGAGAGAAUCCAAGUUGAAGUCACUUCUGUAUCGGCUUUACUUUUCAGAGCCGAGACUCAGCGUCCCGUCGUAGACGGACUGAGACAAAGCUAGAAAGCGUGAACUGAAGCGCUCCGCAUCCCGACAGCAAGUGGAGCGAGAACACAGCUUCAGACCAAGCAGGAAAUUCACAAAGAUGUUCCCAAUUUCCCAAGAUGCCAAUUAGUCCCCCCCAGCCCGAGGGCCGGGUUGGACAGCAGCUGGCCUUCCAGCAUCAUGGGGUGUGUUUGACUGGCUCUCACACAUCUAGUCUCUCAACAGAAAACCAGUCAGACGUAUCACAGCUCGUCCUCAAGCCGGCAGAGGGCUCAUGAAGCGGAAAGGAUGCCUUUACUGAUAGACAUUAAUAAUAUAUAUAUAUAGAUAGAUUUUUUGCAUGAGUCCAGGUCCUGCGAUAACAAAACGCCGAAGGAAAGAAGUGAUAGGGGGGUCCGGGGUAUGCCUGCCAGAAAUGUUCUUUUAUAAGUUUAAUUUUUGCUGCAUUCUGGCAAUGAUUUUAAUUUAUGAAUGAAAACUUUACAAACAUCUAACCUUCCAAAGAUAUGCCAUUUCUCUCCUUGACGAACAAAAAAGACGUACUUGUUUUUAAGUAUCCGACAAUUCUAUUCACUUCUGAAUAAAAAAGAACACAAAUAACUGCACUUAUUAUCUUAAAACUUUGAAUUCUCAUCCCGUUCAUCUUAACAUGCUGUAUGUGCAUGCACAAGGCCUCUCAUUCUCAAAACACUGAACAACCUCUUUCCCAAAAGGCAGAUACGACUGAAAAGCAUCCUUUAGGCAUGGAAUCCAUAAUACAAAAUAAAUAGAACAUAACAAGGUCAUUGAGAAUCAGGAAGAACCCAUUAUUACCUUCGAUUUGAAAAUGCGGAAGGUUAUGUUUUGAUCGCCGUGUAUUUAUUUAUUUAUUUAUAUGCGUGUUAUUCGCAUAACAAAAAAAGUUUUAAACCGAAUCGCAUGAAAUUUGGUGGGAUGAUUGGUUCUUAUCCGGGGACCAUUUGAUUAGAUUUUGGGAUCAAUCGGGUCAAAGGUUAAGGUCAAGGUCAUGGAAAGGUCAACAUCUUCUUUUUACCAUAGCACGGUCAAUUUGUAUCCAAUUGGCAUGCAACUAAUGCCAAAAUGUUCAUAAUUCAAUGCCCAAUCUUGUCAUAUGCGAAGGUAUGCGCUCUACCGAGUGCCCGUUCUAGUUUCCACCAUGCCAACGUCCUUCUGUAAACAACUGCCUGGAGGAUGUGUUCAGGGCCCCACGAUUGAGCUUCUAUGUGUGUAGAAUGUCUUUGAUGGACUCCGUAUUUUCUUUUGAUCAAAUUACUCUAUUGUAUGUACUUUGUCCUAUCUUUUAAUCAUACUCUAUUUCCUUUUAUUGACGUUGUACACACUGAAUGAGUAUACAUGUAUAUUAAAUGCGCUACAGAAAUAU